rnacentral:rRNA from 1 species
AUACGGAGGGUGCAAGCGUUGUUCGGAAUUACUGGGCGUAAAGAGCUUGUAGGCGGCCUGUUAAGUCUGAUGUGAAAGCCCUCGGCUCAACCGAGGAAGUGCAUUGGAUACUGGCAGGCUUGAGUAUGGGAGAGGAGAGCGGAAUUCCCGGUGUAGAGGUGAAAUUCGUAGAUAUCGGGAGGAACACCAGUGGCGAAGGCGGCUCUCUGGACCAAUACUGACGCUGAGAAGCGAAAGCGUGGGGAGCAAACAGGAUUAGAAACCCCGGUAGUCC